GAUGAAGAACGCAGUGAAAUGCGAUAAGUAAUGUGAAUUGCAGAAUUCAGUGAAUCAUCGAAUCUUUGAACGCACAUUGCGCCCCUUGGUAUUCCGAGGGGCAUGCCUGUUCGAGCGUCAUUAUAACCCUCAAGCUCAGCUUGGUGUUGGGGCCUGCUGCAGUGGCAGCCCUUAAAAUCAGUGGCGGCGCCAUCUGGCUCUAAGCGUAGUAAUUCUUCUCGCUAUGGAGUCCUGGUGGAUGCUUGCCAUCAACCCCCAAUUUUUCUAUGGUUGACCUCGGAUCAGGUAGGGAUACCCGCUGAACUUAAGCAUAUCAAUAAGCGGAGGA
rnacentral:misc_RNA from 1 species